rnacentral:rRNA from 1 species
AGGGUUUGAUUAUGGCUCAGGAUGAACGCUGGCGGCGUGCCUAAUACAUGCAAGUCGAGCGAGAUGUUAGCGCAUGAACCUUCGGGGGAUUAUGCUAACGGACAGCGGCGGACGGGUGAGUAACGCGUAGGCAACCUGCCCCUGACAGAGGGAUAGCCAUUGGAAACGAUGAUUAAAACCUCAUGACACCGUAGAAGCACAUGCUUCAUCGGUCAAAGAUUUAUCGGUCAGGGAUGGGCCUGCGUCUGAUUAACUAGUUGGUGAGGUAACGGCUCACCAAGGUGACGAUCAGUAGCCGACCUGAGAGGGUGAUCGGCCACAUUGGAACUGAGACACGGUCCAA